rnacentral:rRNA from 1 species
CAGCCGCCACGGUAAAACGUAGGGUGCGAGCGUUAAUCGGAAUUACUGGGCGUAAAGCGUGCGCAGGCGGUUCGUUAAGACAGAUGUGAAAUCCCCGGGCUUAACCUGGGAACUGCAUUUGUGACUGACGGGCUAGAGUAUGGCAGAGGGGGGUAGAAUUCCACGUGUAGCAGUGAAAUGCGUAGAGAUGUGGAGGAAUACCGAUGGCGAAGGCAGCCCCCUGGGCCAAUACUGACGCUCAUGCACGAAAGCGUGGGGAGCAAACAGGAUUAGAUACCCCCGUAGUCCCUGUCUCUUAUAC